rnacentral:rRNA from 1 species
CAUUGAGCCUUGAUGUGUAGGAUAGGUGGGAGGCUUUGAAGUGUGGACGCCAGUCUGCAUGGAGCCGACCUUGAAAUACCACCCUUUAAUGUUUGAUGUUCUAACGUUGACCCGUAAUCCGGGUUGCGGACAGUGUCUGGUGGGUAGUUUGACUGGGGCGGUCUCCUCCUAAAGAGUAACGGAGGAGCACGAAGGUUGGCUAAUCCUGGUCGGACAUCAGGAGGUUAGUGC